UUUUUGGUAUUUUAAUAUUUAUAAAGCUUUAGAUCUUUCAUAAGAGGAAAUUGCUACACUUGCUGAUGCAAAAGCAUCAAUAAAAAUUAAUGCUCAAACUGUUUAUAAUGCUUAUAAACAGGCGUUAGAGCAUGCUAGGCCAAAUAUUCCAAUCCCUACGUCGUCUAGCUCACAGUCGUCUCAAAGAGCUGAGGGCUUAACAUCUCUUAAUUCUUGGACGGAGUUCCAGGGUUCUCAAGGUGAUAAUUUUGAUGAAAUUUCAUAUCUAAAUGAGCUUCAAGUUUACU
rnacentral:lncRNA from 1 species